rnacentral:tRNA from 1 species
GCGCCCGUGGCGAAAUUGGUAGACGCUGGAGACUUAAAAUUUCCCGCCCGCAAGGGCAUGCCGGUUCGACCCCGGCCGGGCGCACCA